rnacentral:tmRNA from 1 species
GGGGAUGUACUGGUUUCGACGGGGUCAUUGGUGCGCCGGCUGCAGGCAGAGGUUCCCGUUGGCCUCUUUAAAAAGCGGGACUUUAAAAUUAAACGCUAACGACGAUUUAGCACUUCAGGCUGCCUGACGGCAGUCCCGUCGCCCUUCCGGUUACCGGGCCGGGAGCAAGCGGCGUCAAAAAUCCGGUCCUGUCCGUAUGGCGGUUAAAUCGGAGAACGGCUCAGCCAAAGCUUUGAGGCUGCGCGGCACUUAUGAAGCUACCUGACGCACGACCUUGACUGCCGGGGCCUGCCGAAGGGAAUUUUAAAUGACAGUCUAAGCCUGUAGAAGCUCGCGAGGAUCUGAUUUCGGACAGGGGUCCGAUUCCCCUCAUCUCCAUUU